rnacentral:lncRNA from 1 species
AGAGAGAGGAGGCAGAGGCUGGGAAUGGGAGCAGUAAGCUGUCGGCAGGGGCAGCACACCCAGCAGGGGGAACACACCCGGGUGGCUGUCCCUCACAAGCAGGGUGGCAACAUCCGGGGUCCCUGGGCCCGAGGCUGGAAGAGCCUCUGGACAGGUUUGGGAACCAUCAGGUCAGAUCUGGAAGAACUCUGGGAACUACGGGGGCACCACUAUCUGCACCAGGAAUCCCUAAAGCCAGCCCCAGUACUGGUAGAGAAGCCUCUGCCAGAGUGGCCAGUGCCUCAGUUCAUCAACCUCUUUCUACCAGAGUUUCCCAUUAGGCCCAUUAGGGGGCAGCAGCAGCUGAAGAUUUUAGGCCUCGUGGCUAAAGGCUCCUUUGGAACUGUCCUCAAGGUGCUAGAUUGCACCCAGAAAGCUGUAUUUGCAGUGAAGGUGGUGCCCAAGGUAAAGGUCCUACAGAGGGAUACCGUGAGGCAGUGCAAAGAGGAGGUUAGCAUCCAGCUGGGGUGUAUACAUGAUGAAAGAGAGUUGAAAGGAAGAGGAAGAAUUACUUCUCACCUGUGAUCUUUCA